rnacentral:rRNA from 1 species
GGGUUGUGAGGUUAAGCGACUAAGCGUACACGGUGGAUGCCCUGGCAGUCAGAGGCGAUGAAGGACGUGCUAAUCUGCGAUAAGCGUCGGUAAGGUGAUAUGAACCGUUAUAACCGGCGAUUUCCGAAUGGGGAAACCCAGUGUGAUUCGUCACACUAUCAUUAACUGAAUCCAUAGGUUAAUGAGGCGAACCGGGGGAACUGAAACAUCUAAGUACCCCGAGGAAAAGAAAUCAACCGAGAUUCCCCCAGUAGCGGCGAGCGAACGGGGAGCAGCCCAGAGCCUGAAUCAGUGUGUGUGUUAGUGGAAGCGUCUGGAAAGGCGCGCGAUACAGGGUGACAGCCCCGUACACAAAAAUGCACAUGCUGUGAGCUCGAUGAGUAGGGCGGGACACGUGGUAUCCUGUCUGAAUAUGGGGGGACCAUCCUCCAAGGCUAAAUACUCCUGACUGACCGAUAGUGAACCAGUACCGUGAGGGAAAGGCGAAAAGAACCCCGGCGAGGGGAGUGAAAAAGAACCUGAAACCGUGUACGUACAAGCAGUGGGAGCACAGAGCAAUCUGUGUGACUGCGUACCUUUUGUAUAAUGGGUCAGCGACUUAUAUUCUGUAGCAAGGUUAACCGAAUAGGGGAGCCGAAGGGAAACCGAGUCUUAACUGGGCGUUAAGUUGCAGGGUAUAGACCCGAAACCCGGUGAUCUAGCCAUGGGCAGGUUGAAGGUUGGGUAACACUAACUGGAGGACCGAACCGACUAAUGUUGAAAAAUUAGCGGAUGACUUGUGGCUGGGGGUGAAAGGCCAAUCAAACCGGGAGAUAGCUGGUUCUCCCCGAAAGCUAUUUAGGUAGCGCCUCGUGAAUUCAUCUCCGGGGGUAGAGCACUGUUUCGGCAAGGGGGUCAUCCCGACUUACCAACCCGAUGCAAACUGCGAAUACCGGAGAAUGUUAUCACGGGAGACACACGGCGGGUGCUAACGUCCGUCGUGAAGAGGGAAACAACCCAGACCGCCAGCUAAGGUCCCAAAGUCAUGGUUAAGUGGGAAACGAUGUGGGAAGGCCCAGACAGCCAGGAUGUUGGCUUAGAAGCAGCCAUCAUUUAAAGAAAGCGUAAUAGCUCACUGGUCGAGUCGGCCUGCGCGGAAGAUGUAACGGGGCUAAACCAUGCACCGAAGCUGCGGCAGCGACACUUAUGUGUUGUUGGGUAGGGGAGCGUUCUGUAAGCCUGUGAAGGUGUACUGUGAGGUAUGCUGGAGGUAUCAGAAGUGCGAAUGCUGACAUAAGUAACGAUAAAGCGGGUGAAAAGCCCGCUCGCCGGAAGACCAAGGGUUCCUGUCCAACGUUAAUCGGGGCAGGGUGAGUCGACCCCUAAGGCGAGGCCGAAAGGCGUAGUCGAUGGGAAACAGGUUAAUAUUCCUGUACUUGGUGUUACUGCGAAGGGGGGACGGAGAAGGCUAUGUUGGCCGGGCGACGGUUGUCCCGGUUUAAGCGUGUAGGCUGGUUUUCCAGGCAAAUCCGGAAAAUCAAGGCUGAGGCGUGAUGACGAGGCACUACGGUGCUGAAGCAACAAAUGCCCUGCUUCCAGGAAAAGCCUCUAAGCAUCAGGUAACAUCAAAUCGUACCCCAAACCGACACAGGUGGUCAGGUAGAGAAUACCAAGGCGCUUGAGAGAACUCGGGUGAAGGAACUAGGCAAAAUGGUGCCGUAACUUCGGGAGAAGGCACGCUGAUAUGUAGGUGAAGUCCCUCGCGGAUGGAGCUGAAAUCAGUCGAAGAUACCAGCUGGCUGCAACUGUUUAUUAAAAACACAGCACUGUGCAAACACGAAAGUGGACGUAUACGGUGUGACGCCUGCCCGGUGCCGGAAGGUUAAUUGAUGGGGUCAGCGCAAGCGAAGCUCUUGAUCGAAGCCCCGGUAAACGGCGGCCGUAACUAUAACGGUCCUAAGGUAGCGAAAUUCCUUGUCGGGUAAGUUCCGACCUGCACGAAUGGCGUAAUGAUGGCCAGGCUGUCUCCACCCGAGACUCAGUGAAAUUGAACUCGCUGUGAAGAUGCAGUGUACCCGCGGCAAGACGGAAAGACCCCGUGAACCUUUACUAUAGCUUGACACUGAACAUUGAGCCUUGAUGUGUAGGAUAGGUGGGAGGCUUUGAAGUGUGGACGCCAGUCUGCAUGGAGCCGACCUUGAAAUACCACCCUUUAAUGUUUGAUGUUCUAACGUUGACCCGUGAUCCGGGUUGCGGACAGUGUCUGGUGGGUAGUUUGACUGGGGCGGUCUCCUCCUAAAGAGUAACGGAGGAGCACGAAGGUUGGCUAAUCCUGGUCGGACAUCAGGAGGUUAGUGCAAUGGCAUAAGCCAGCUUGACUGCGAGCGUGACGGCGCGAGCAGGUGCGAAAGCAGGUCAUAGUGAUCCGGUGGUUCUGAAUGGAAGGGCCAUCGCUCAACGGAUAAAAGGUACUCCGGGGAUAACAGGCUGAUACCGCCCAAGAGUUCAUAUCGACGGCGGUGUUUGGCACCUCGAUGUCGGCUCAUCACAUCCUGGGGCUGAAGUAGGUCCCAAGGGUAUGGCUGUUCGCCAUUUAAAGUGGUACGCGAGCUGGGUUUAGAACGUCGUGAGACAGUUCGGUCCCUAUCUGCCGUGGGCGCUGGAGAACUGAGGGGGGCUGCUCCUAGUACGAGAGGACCGGAGUGGACGCAUCACUGGUGUUCGGGUUGUCAUGCCAAUGGCACUGCCCGGUAGCUAAAUGCGGAAGAGAUAAGUGCUGAAAGCAUCUAAGCACGAAACUUGCCCCGAGAUGAGUUCUCCCUGACUCCUUGAGAGUCCUGAAGGAACGUUGAAGACGACGACGUUGAUAGGCCGGGUGUGUAAGCGCAGCGAUGCGUUGAGCUAACCGGUACUAAUGAACCGUGAGGCUUAACCUUACAACGCCGAAG